GACGAACGCUGGCGGCGUGCUUAACACAUGCAAGUCGAACGGAAAGGCCCUGCUUUUGUGGGGUGCUCGAGUGGCGAACGGGUGAGUAACACGUGAGUAACCUGCCCUUGACUUUGGGAUAACUUCAGGAAACUGGGGCUAAUACCGGAUAGGAGCUCCUGCUGCAUGGUGGGGGUUGGAAAGUUCCGGCGGGUGGGGAUGGACUCGCGGCUUAUCAGCUUGUUGGUGGGGUAGUGGCUUACCCAGGCUUUGCCGGGUAGCCGGCCUGAGAGGGUGACCGGGCACAUUGGGACUGAGAUACGGCCCAGACUCCUACGGGAGGCAGCAGUGGGGAAUAUUGCACAAUGGGCGGAAGCCUGAGGCAGCAACGCCGCGUGCGGGAUGACGGCCUUCGGGUUGUAAACCGCUUUCGCCUGUGACGAAGCGUGAGUGACGGUAAUGGGUAAAGAAGCACCGGCUAACUACGUG
rnacentral:rRNA from 1 species